rnacentral:lncRNA from 1 species
UCCCCCUCACGACGAACGGCGGAAAUGACAGCGCGUCGAUGACAGACCGUGAAAGUGGAAGAUCAUAAUGAGCUCUUAUUCAUCAAAGCACCCAAAAACAAAUCUGACAGAUUUGACAAAGGGUUGGUGAAAUUGUUUCAACCCAUAAUUUUAGUGUUGAAAUUUCUUGAUGUUAACCACUGAUUGUCCUUGAAGACCUUUCAAAAUAGAGAAGAAGAUAGCGGAAGCAGUAGAGGUAGGACUAGGUGUUGGUGCAUCAGUGGCACAAGUGGCGGAGACGACGGCCGGAGACGGUGGCUGGAGACGGU